GUCAUGAUCAUCGCUACAAAAAGAAUAGGAGUGGGGCACCAGUCAGAAGUCAUUCUGUGUUGUCAUUUUUGGUUGUUUUUCUGAGAUUGCCAUAUCUUAUGUUGCUUGCAUAUUCGAGAGUAACAGUACUAGUUAAGAGGUUUAGAGCUUUAGAAGGAGCAUCAUGGCGAUUGAAAGUAUAAAGUAAGAUAGACAUAAAGAAGACAAUGGCCAGAACAUGAGAGCUA
rnacentral:lncRNA from 1 species